UGGGGAAUUUUGGACAAUGGGGGAAACCCUGAUCCAGCCAUCCCGCGUGUGCGAUGAAGGCCUUCGGGUUGUAAAGCACUUUUGGCAGGAAAGAAACGUCGCGGGUUAAUACCCCGCGAAACUGACGGUACCUGCAGAAUAAGCACCGGCUAACUACGUGCCAGCAGCCGCGGUAAUACGUAGGGUGCAAGCGUUAAUCGGAAUUACUGGGCGUAAAGCGUGCGCAGGCGGUUCGGAAAGAAAGAUGUGAAAUCCCAGAGCUUAACUUUGGAACUGCAUUUUUAACUACCGGGCUAGAGUGUGUCAGAGGGAGGUGGAAUUCCGCGUGUAGCAGUGAAAUGCGUAGAUAUGCGGAGGAACACCGAUGGCGAAGGCAGCCUCCUGGGAUAACACUGACGCUCGUGCACGAAAGCGUGGGGAGCAAACAGGAUUAGAUACCCUGGUAGUCCACGCCCUAAACGAUGUCAACUAGCUGUUGGGGCCUUCGGGCCUUGGUAGCGCAGCUAACGCGUGAAGUUGACCGCCUGGGGAGUACGGUCGCAAGAUUAAAACUCAAAUGAAUUGACGGGGGUCGAUANCU
rnacentral:rRNA from 1 species